CCAGACUCCUACGGGAGGCAGCAGUGGGGGAUAUUGCACAAUGGGGGAAACCCUGAUGCAGCAACGCCGCGUGAGUGAAGAAGUAUUUCGGUAUGUAAAGCUCUAUCAGCAGGGAAGAGAAUGACGGUACCUGACUAAGAAGCCCCGGCUAACUACGUGCCAGCAGCCGCGGUAAUACGUAGGGGGCAAGCGUUAUCCGGAUUCACUGGGUGUAAAGGGAGCGUAGACGGCGACGCAAGUCUGGAGUGAAAGCCCGGGGCCCAACCCCGGGACUGCUCUGGAAACUGCGUCGCUGGAGUACGGGAGGGGCAGGCGGAAUUCCUGGUGUAGCGGUGAAAUGCUUAGAUAUCACGAAGAACUCCGAUUGCGAAGGCAGUUCACUGGACUGCAACUGACACUGAGGCUCGAAAGUGUGGGUAUCAAACAGGAUUAGAUACCCCAGUA
rnacentral:rRNA from 1 species